AACGAACGCUGGCGGCAGGCCCAACACAUGCAAGUCGAGCGGAUGACGGGAGCUUGCUCCUUGAUUCAGCGGCGGACGGGUGAGUAAUGCCUAGGAAUCUGCCUGGUAGUGGGGGACAACGUUUCGAAAGGAACGCUAAUACCGCAUACGUCCUACGGGAGAAAGCAGGGGACCUUCGGGCCUUGCGCUAUCAGAUGAGCCUAGGUCGGAUUAGCUAGUAGGUGAGGUAAUGGCUCACCUAGGCGACGAUCCGUAACUGGUCUGAGAGGAUGAUCAGUCACACUGGAACUGAGACACGGUCCAGACUCCUACGGGAGGCAGCAGUGGGGAAUAUUGGACAAUGGGCGAAAGCCUGAUCCAGCCAUGCCGCGUGUGUGAAGAAGGUCUUCGGAUUGUAAAGCACUUUAAGUUGGGAGGAAGGGCAGUAAGUUAAUACCUUGCUGUUUUGACGUUACCGACAGAAUAAGCACCGGCUAACUCUGUGCCAGCCGCCGCCGUAACAC
rnacentral:rRNA from 1 species